AUGCUCACCUUUAAGCUCUUCUGGUCCAACGCCAACCCCACGGUCUACCCCCUGGUCCCCUGUCGUCCCUGCGAGGAGAAGGUGACCUUGGGUUGCUUAGUCAGCGAUUUCUUCCCCGAACCGGCCACCCUCACCUGGAUCUCCAACGUGGCCGGCGAGGUGGAGACCUUCCCCACCAUCCGGAGCGGCAACAGUUACUACAGCUUCAGCUCCCAGUACACCGUCCCCGCCGCCGUGGUGGACGACAACAAAUUCCAGUGCAAGGUGGACCACGGCCCCUCCUUCAGCGUCAUCAAGGAGGUCCCAGCCAUGUGCAGAGAUCCCCCCGCAACGGUGAAGCUCUUGGCCGACCCCAACAAGUACUCCGAGGAAGUCCUCCUGAUGUGCCUCGUCGAGGGGGAGACCGCUGGUGAUGCUCAGGUGGAAUGGUUGAUGAACCACGAGGCGGCGGACCUCAACCAAGUGGACUCCACCUGCGAGAAGUGCUCCCAGGACAAGGUCACCUUCACCAGCCAGGUCAACGUCAGCCGGCAGAGCUGGGACCACGGGGCUGAGUUCUCCUGCAAGGUGACCCACCCGUCGGUGAAGGACCCAAAUGUCUUCAACAUCAGCACCUUCUGCGCAGAUUGCAAACCGGAGGUGGCCGUCACCCUCCUCCCCCCGUCGCUGGAGGACCUCUACCUCAGCCAGAACGGUAGCGUCACCUGCGUGGCCACCAACGUGAAGACCCCCCAGGAGGUGAAGUUCACCUGGAAGCGGGACACGGGCAGCGCUUUGGAUGUCACCUCCGGUUCUCCCCAAAAGUUGGAGAAUGGUCUCUACCGCCUCACCAGUACCCUGAAGAUCUGCGCCGACGAGUGGAACUCCGGCGAGAAGUUCACCUGCACCGUGAAAAUCCCCGAGUUGGAGGAGACCUUCACCAGGGUGGUGAAGAAAGACCUAGCCGUCUCUGUGACGCCCCCUUCCGUCUACGUCUUCCCUCCCCCCGCCGAGGAACUGGCCCGGCAAGAGACGGCCACCUUGACCUGUUUGGCUUUGGGUUUCCGUCCUCGGGACAUCUUGGUGACCUGGACCCAAGAAGACCGUCCCGUCUCCCCCGAGAGCUUCUCCAUCUUUGGCCCUCAAGAAGACGGCGCCACUUACGCCGUCUACAGCAAGUUGAGCGUGCCGGCGACCGCUUGGCAACGGGGCGACUCCUUCGCCUGCGUGGUGGGCCACGACGGCAUCCCCAUGAAGUUCGUGCAGAAGAACCUGGACAAGAGCAUCGGUAAACCCACCGCCGUCAACGUCUCGGUGGUUUUGGCCGACUCCGACGUCACCUGCUACUGA